GCAAGAGGAAAUGUCUUAUAAAUAAACAACAGCAAGAGAAACAAAAAAAUCCAUCCCGUCCUGCCAGAGGAAUGUACAUUAUUGUCUCUUGACGGAAAACUUUACACCACACCAGAAAGCAAGAAAGCAGCCAUUUCUCCUGAAGCUACCCUCCCUUGGGUGGGGAGGAGGAGGGCAAUGCAAACUUGAAAAAAAAAAAAUUGGGAAGUUCAUGCGAUUUCCCAGUAGACAAACAAAACUGUCCACAUUCAACAGACGUCACUAUUCCAAGGUUUCACACAGCACUAAAUUUCUUUAGAUCUGAUGAUUGUCACUCCACCAUUAGGACACAUUCAAGGAGGAAGUUCAAAGCAAGGGGAAGGAGGAGAAGGUCACAACAUAUUUGUUUCAGUGUGACUGAUCUCAAGAAAAAUGAAGCAGUUCUGCUGGGACAGACAGUCUGAGCAGUGGAUGGAAAAACAGGAAGAGACUCUGGGGAGAGAACGUCACUUGGGUGAAGCCUGUACAAGCUAGAGAUCACUUGGCCUCUCCAAGACCCACCAAGACAGCAGAAGGAUAAAUGAAAUGCCAUUUGUAUGCAUUCUUCCAAGUCCCCACUCUCUCUCCAUUUUCUUCAACCAAGAAUCUCUCCAUGUAUCUACCUAAAGAAAAAUUUAUCUUCUUUUCCUUAAUGAAAAUCUAAGAAAUUUAUGAGACAGACCUGUUUCAAAGGCAAACAAGAAUCACACAGUGGGGGAAUUUUCUCCCUCUUUGGAUGCUCUCUUUUUGCCCCUGUGAGGUCAGCCUUUGAAGCCCACUCACAUAGCUCUAUAAUAUAAUGCAAGGAUUCUUUAAUCAACCAGACACUGGUACUUGAUUUCUAUACUGGGAUUUAAGUGUGCACUGUAGGAAGCUGUAGGACCUGGGCCCAGCACAGUUGUGUUCCUGUUCUGUAGUAUCCAGUAAAACCACAAUUUCAAAUUUUUAUUCUAGCAUGUUUUCAAUCAGCAUUCUGUAGAAGGACUGAGUCCCAUUACAGCCAUAUUACAUGGUAGAACAAACCAGCCUGACCCCAGGCAAAGGCUUCAUCCUCUCCGUAUCUCAGUUUCCCUGACUGGAAGAGUAAUUAUUUUUCACUUAAAAGGGAUGUCUUGGGAAUUACUUACUUAACAUACAGAUAAAAAAAGACUCUGAAAGGCAAAGUACAGUGGGGCUGAUCGAGUAGGCUUGCUGCAGUAACAUGGCUGUUGCCAGCAGGCAGCAGGUAGCACAGAUCUCAUGAAAGAUCACUCGUCGAUUUUAAGUUAUGUUCAUUUUUGUGCUUGUUCUGUAGGCCUCCAGAGAUUAAAUACAGCUGAGUGCUAUUAUACAGUUAGCUCCAGCGAAUGAAAAAUAUACUCUUUUAGCAGCUUUAUUCCUUUAUCAAUUACUACUUUAAGAGACUUGUACUGUAUUAUUUUAUAUUGGCCAGUUGUAAAAAUAAUUUAUUCCCUGAAGAGUUUUAUUCCUUUAACAUUUCAAAUUUUUUUGUUCAAUGUUUAGCAUGUGACCAUUUUUGACAGAGAAUGAAAGGAAUACUUUAUUAAAGGAGCUAAUAUAGCUCCUUUUCUUAUGUACAUUUUGACCAUUUUUAAAAUAAAAGAUCUGAAGAGGAUUUUCAGUAACGCAGAAAAUCCAGUAAGAUUUUUCUGUUUUCAGGUUUCUUUGCACUACUACAUUAUCACCCUGGGCGGGAAAAAGAUGGAAAUACUGUCCAGAUUUCUGGUAAAGUACUGGACCUGUUGAGAAUCAAGUCCCCUUUCCUCCUUUCUUCUAGGUACAUCUUUUUUUUAAGCUUGCUCCCACCAAUGUGUGUAUAGAAUAGAGAUGAGUUCUUUACAGACUUGAAACCCUGUAGAAGAGCCAUUGGGAUGAAAACCCAUCAAGUGAGCAUAGAGAGCCACUACAGAACUAACAGAAAAGCAUGCUUGAACACUGUUCAAUGACUGACACUGCCAGGUAGCUCUGUGACUUAGUUUUGUCUCUGAGUGGCUCAAACCACAAUGAAAAGAGCUGUUGUGAUGAGGAAGAUGCCCAGUUGGAUUGAAAAGGUAACCUCUCUUUCAUUUGAGAGCAUGGUAUCAUGGAGGCAGGAGCCCAGAGCAGCCUCCAGUUCAGCAGAGGUGUGUGUGGUCACAGAACACAGUGACAUCAGUACACGUGCCUCAGUUGUGGUCAUACACAGUACAGUCAAUCAAGGAUGAAGCCAUCUGGGAUGAAGUUCAUCUAAGGAUGAAGAGCAGAAUGCACAGGGUGUGCAACAGAGCAGAGCGAGUGUUUGAGCACAACUGAAAUAGAACCAAGCUUUUGUGGAGACAGUGUUGCACAGCCUCAUAAAAUCUCUGCUGCUCAGCAGAAGAUGUUGAUUUCCUUGCCAAUUCAUAAUUCAGAUCAGAUGAAGGAUUUCCUGAGGUUCGCAAGCCCUGUUAACGAUGGGGAGCCUGGCUCGGAGUAACCCUGGAGCUGUUAAAGUGAAAACAUGCUGUAUACAAGGUUUUGUACAACUUCAGCGCAAACCCUGGAGGCCCUGAAGACUCACCUGAGUUUCACUUUAGGCUACUAAACUCAAACAAACUGUGGGAGAAAAGACUGGCAAAGCUCAUAGACAGCAUCUUUCAUCAGCAGUUCUCAAAAUAGUUUACAAAGGGAUUUCCUAUUUUAUGAGGGCAAAACUGCUACAGUGUGGAAGAACACCUUGUUCUAGACCAUGGAGCAGAGCAGCAGCAGAGCAGGGACAGAACUUGAGUGACUUGUGGUCUAGGCCACCAUAUUUCCCACAAGACACAAUGGCUGAAACAAAUUAAUACUACAAGUUAGCAGCAAAGUUUUGUACAACUCUAAUCAGCAGCCACAGAACACCAGUCCUCCAUAAACAACCGCUCAGUUAUAUAAGUUUAUUCACUUGAUGUAGAUGAAAAUAAGUCGUUCACUAACUGGAAUGACUUGUGUCAAUCUUUAGCCCUUUAAAACAUUGACUAAUUUUAGACCUUCUGUGGCUAAAUACAUUUGUAAACUAUUAAAACAGUCUCCUGGUACAUGGAAAACAUAUGGUUCCAACAGUGCUAUUCCUUCAUGAAGGUCUGUUUCUUCAAAGUUUCCUUUAGUUGUACACUAAGCUUGUUUGUUGUUCAGAAUUCUUGUUUUUAUAACUGUUUUCCUUCCUUUCCACAGCUAGUUACUGGAAUGAUAUAUAUGUGCAUGAGUAAAUAUAUAUAUUAAAGACACAUACUUUGAUUGACUGAAGAUGUAAUGAUAUAGUGCUAGUCAGAAAAGAGUAUAAAAGAUGCAUAUCCCCAGGAAACCAUUUUCUCUCUUAGCUGGUGCACUGCAAGUUUGCAGGGAGGAAAUGCUGCUCAUUGUGCAGUUUUAAUUUCUCACACAUUUGGUGAAUACAUUAAAAAACAGGGAAGAAGACAGCCUGCCCAGGCCAAGAUCUACACAUCCAUUCAGAAAUAAUCCCUACAUUUUACUGAGGCUACAGUCUACUAAUGAAGAAUGUCCAUUGUUUCCUCCACCAGUCCUAAAGUAUUAAUCUAUAGUUACUCCUGUUUUAACUGUUUUUCCUGGGACAAUCUUCCAUGUCAGACUGUAAUCACCAUGUUUGGCUCACUCUACAGCCACCCAGCAUUUGCCUUUCCACUCUGGACUGAGCUCUGCCAACCUUCACUGCUCUGAUCCCCAGGUGGUUUGUGAGCUUGAAGGAAGCCGUGCUCUCAGGCACCUGGCCUGGCACUGCAGACUGCUCUUGGGUAAACUGGGAAUCUUAACCUUAUUUUGCACUAUUGUGCUUCAUGAUUGUAAGGGAGAAGUAUAGCAAACAAGAGCAGGUUAGUGUGGAGUGGGAAACAGUCAUCCUUAGCCAAUGCUUGGAGCAGGGUGCAAACCCAGGAACUCCAGGAAUUCCAUCAGCCUUUGGUGGAGAAAAAUUAAGUAGGAGGCCAUUUCUCAGCAGCCAAGUGGGCUACAGUGAGCAUCACUCAUCCAGUUCUGAAGAACAGUGUGUCUUGCCUAACACCAGGCCUGAAUACAUGAGAAGUGGACAAGAACUAUGUCACUUAUAGAAGAGCAAAAAGCUUGCUUUAAAGACAUGGAGAUCUGUGUCUCUUGGAAACAAGCUAGACAUAUAGUGACAAAUCAAGGAAAAUGGCUGAGAAAAAUGAGUAAAUGGGAUGGAGCAGAAACAGAAUUGGAAAAGGCAUGGUGACAGAAAUGCAGGAUAUAAGUUUGGUACUGGAUUCUACUGCUGGACAAGGAAAAACAAAAGCCAAACAAGUCCAUAAAUUCAUUUCAGAUAUUAACUGCUUUGCUUAAUGAACUUCUGCUACAUGCUCAUAUUACAACUCCAGAAUGGUAAUCUCUAAAAUAGAUCUAAAAACUUUUUCAAAUGUGUUUUUUCCCCUUGCAUUUUACAGCUUUUAAGAUCAAAUUUCAUUUUCUGUGAAUUUAUGCUGCCAACCUUGGGACUGACUGAUGUGUACCCAUCUUGUUUGUACAAAGAAAUCUAUAAUAAUGCUCAUGCAAAAUGUGGAUGCAACUCCAGAAGUCAGAAGGAAACACCUGAGCAUGGAAUCAGCAUUAAUAAGUUAAUAGAUUUAUGGCUCAGUUUGCCCAAAUAGCAUUGUUUUACCUCCAAGCCACUGACUUUCACUUGGCUAUGUCUGCAUUCAAUCCAUAAGGCAAUAGGAGUCUUUGAACUGUGAAAGCAGAAGGGAAAAAUUUGGUAAGCGAGAGACCAAGGAAAUGAGAACUAGACCUGGCAUAGGAGAAUAAUUGUCAGUUAAGAAGUAAUGGAGGGAGAGAAACACUUGAAGGAAUAGGUGUCUGUACAAUGACUGGAGGUACUUUCGAAAGAUCUAAUAAAUCUGUAAUGCAAAUAUAGAGAAGGCAGCACUAGGAUAACAAGGGAGUAAAAAUAUAUAGAUUCCCUUUAUGCCUAAAAAUGACCACGGACAUAGUAACUAUCAUACAUAGUUUUUAAGUGAGCACAUCUAAACUAUUGUGCUUGAAUUCUGACCUCUUGUUUGAUGUAAAAUUAAGUUUCAAAAAUGGAGAAAGAAAAAAAAUGAACUUGGCCUCCCAAUGGGAUGCUAAAAGGAGUGCUACUUGCUUUAUUUGUCGGUGAACCUUUUUUGCCACUCCUGCUAGGACAGCGUGAAGGACAAUUACAUCAAGUGUAAUGAAAUGAGUGCCCUAAUGUGAACACUUCUCAACAGGAGAUCCAUGACGCCUUGACAAACUGAAAUGCCAGAACCCUCUGCCAUCACUGCUCUGUCCGGAAACUGCCCUCAAAUAUUUGAGACAUUCCUGGAAUUAAUAAAUAAGUGCUGAUUUGGACUGGCUGGUUGCUGCCUGGUAUCCCUGGCUGGCACUGCCUUACAAUGGAUGGCAUUGUUUUGUUGCAGCAAUUCUUUUGCUUUUCUUCUUAAAUUUCCCAGUGCCAGCAACAGGAAGACUGAUUAAUUUCAACUAAUGUGACUGUUGAAUCAAAGAUAUGACUCAUUUUAAAGAAGCUUUUGUUGGAUGCUUAGUCUAUCAAACCAUGCAUACUUUAGAUUAUUUGGUUAUGUAGACAAUAUGAUCAGGCAAACACAACGGUUUUUGUUGAACUCAGGUAUACAUUACUUUUGUACUGAAAAGCUGGACAUGAACAAAAUUAUGCUGCAGCCAUGUAAAGUCUAUAACCAAUCCUUUCUGUGCUGUCUGGAAAGGCAUGCAUAGUAUACAGUAUGUUGAACUUAUCAGAAAACGACAAAAAGCAAGUAAGAGGGAAAAAAAAAAAUGUUUGUCAGCCUCAAGUCAGUGAAGCUCUAGUAUUCAGAAUUUGCUUUAUGCAAUAUGCAUAAAUGUCAGGUCACAAUGCAAAAACUGGGAAAGGAAAAGAGAAUAUUUUCUCUUGUGCUUUUGUGCCAUGGAGCAGCCCAUAACACAUCAGUUAACUUGGGGGUCCUUGCUGGACUAAACAGAAUAACGCAUUUCAAACGUUUCUUUAAUGAAUAAAACUAAAUGUAAUACUA